AGUUAGUUCGAUCUUUUAACUUGAUGUUUAUUUUUAAAGAUUCGCAAGGAGCUACCAAGAAACUCAAAGUAAAGGUUAAGGAUAUGAUGUAUUUAUCCGACGGAAAAUGUAUUGUGGUUGAAUUUGAUGAUAUGGAUCAGCCAAUUGGAGAAGGGCAAGGUGUUCUUGCAGGCUUUUGUGGAAUUUUAGCAACCGACUGCUCCUUAUUUCCAAUUCACUUCAACAAAUGGCCAGAUUUACCUAAGUCAUACUUCAAUUGUUGCUUUGAUCAAAUUAUAAAGAUAUAAGCUCUAUUUUCUUAUUGUUGUAACUCUGUUUUAUGUCGUUAGACUGUAUAUUUGUAUGUAAUAAAUUAGCUAACAGAAGUUUUAUUCCUGUAGCCACGAUUCUGUUUUAAGACAACUGAGUUAAAUGCACGAGCAUAUGUUUAUAGUUCUAUUGGAAAGAAGUGGAGUUCAGGAAGGCAAAGGUUGUGGUAUGAGUUCAAUGACCCACUUAAGACCAAAGCAUCAGGGAUUCCACGGGAUCAAUGGACUUCUUAUGUUGCUUACCAUUUUAAUGAAAAGACAAUGGUAUUUAUUUGAAUGCUUCAAUUAGUAUGUGUAAUUAUAUACUUUUUUAUUUGUAUAUUUGAGUUAUGUGUAUUUUUAUGAGGAAAUGAGUAAAAGAAAUGCUGAAAUUCGGAAGAAACAAACUGUUGCACACACUGGUGGUUCCAAACCAAACUCCAGAAGAAGAGCUGAAAUGAUGGCUGAAUCUGGACAAAACCCUGGACGAGGCAACUCUAUCUUGCUACUCAUAAGAAGGAAGAUGGGUCAUAUGUUAAUGAAGCAGCAAGAGAAAUAUGUGAAAAAAUUGAGCUAGUUGUAAGUCAAAGCGCCACAGAUGAGUCUGAAGUUUCACCAAAUGAUGCCGUUGGUAAGGUGCUAGGAAAAGAGCAUUCUGGAAGGGUAAGGUGCUUGGGUUAGGAGCUAUCCCGAGUAAAGUUUUUAGACAAACAAGACGUCAUUUUGGAGGUAUAAAUUCUUCUAGUUGUGAUAAUGGUUCAUGUUCGUCCAAAUGCGAAGAGAAGUACAAUCAGAUUGUAAAUGCUCACAAUCAAAGCCAAGAGAAGUACAAUCAGAUUGUAAAUGCUCACAAUCAAAGCCAAGAGAACUAUGCUCAAAUGAUGACUGCACACCUCCAAAUGAUGAAUGCUUUCAAGACAUAUAUGAUUAUGAAAGAAGGGACAAUACCUGAACAGUUUGCUGGGAUUUUCGUUUCUCCUUCGGCAGCGCCAAGUGAUGCAGCUAGCGGAUCCAUUUCACCUAUGGGCGUAAGAGGAUCAUCUAUUGAUAGUAAUCUUAAUGAAAAUCAUUGAAUUUCUUUGCAAAUGUAGUAGAUGAUUAAGUAUGAUACUUUACUUGAAUGGUUGAACUAGAUAUUUUGUUUUUAAGUUUAGUUUUUGAGAUUAAUGACAAUACUAUCUACUUAUGAUUCUAUAAUAUGUGGAUGUUACUUAA